UUCACCUCUGAUUAAAAUUCUGCCUGGGCAAAAAAAAAAAAAAAAAAAAAAAAUCUGCCUAGAAUUAAAAAGGUGAUGUACUGAGAUAUGAAUGACUCACUUAAUCAGAAGGGCCUCUCUGUACACAUUAUUCUCCCUGCCUUCAGCCAAAGUUGACUCUCUUGCACUCUUAACGUUAGAAAAAAGGGGUUUUUCAGGAUACCCUGCCCUGGCAAAGUGAGGACAGAGACCAGGAGGCAACAGUGACAUUCUGCGACACAGGAAGGGGCUUCACUGAAUCAAAGACCAUGGUCAAGGGAACCUCGGGGGGCUUUGGUUCCUUAUGCUGUGGUCAGAGGGCAACCUUUGGUGGUGGAUUUUGUUUUUCCUCUCUGCGAGCUACUUGACUGCAAAGGGCUUAGUCUAAGAUCUGGGUCUCUUUGCCCCAGGAAUGAAAAAGUGGUCAUUUUAAAGGGGAUUUCAGUGCAUGUUAAUCUCCCGGUUGAGGUGAGAAGAGGGAGAGAAAGAAAGAAAAGACUCGAGUAGCUGAGCAGAAGAGAGAUUGGUUGCUCAGGCAUUCCAGAAGGUUCCAACAAGCCAGGGCCCCUUCCUGUGAAGUCCGAGGCUUUCUGCUGGAAAGCAAAAGGCGCCCAGCAAACGCCCCUCAUAACCAGUCUCAGCCGAGGACAGCAGACAGCGCGCUCUGUCCAGCCAAAGCGCUCGGCAAUUUGAGAGUCUGCUCCUUCUCCGGGCUCUCCAGUGUUUCAAAUGCAGUUUGUCUUUUUACCACAGUUGCAACCUCUCCACUUGCAGCAACUUAAAAGCAGAGGAACCGGCCACGCAAAAUAGGGUGUGCGCUUGCGACCGAGGUCGGAAAUGCGGCUUGACAACGUUUCCGUCUUUCGUGCAAGGCCUCAAUCUCCCCCUCUGCGAGGUUCGAGCUCCUCAGGGCAAGAGAUCGGGCAGAGAUGAACUCUGUCCAGCACCUUCUACUUCCUUCCUUCAGAACGAGACAAGAAACGAGCCAUCUCAAUAGCACUGCCUUUUGAAGACAGGUGAACCAAUUAGGUUUCUGACAGUUUCUAUCUCCCUUUCCACUUCUUCCUCUCAAAAUAAUCACAUCAGGCUUUGAAACCAAAUGUCUAGGAAUAGGGACACAGCCUGGCAGAUGUCAAGCGGCUACGCAAAAAGUAUCGAUAAGAAAUGCCCACCUGACCAAGGGGAGGAGCAGGGCCCCGAGGCCAAGAUACUAUCUUUAGGAGCCGGUGCUUGACAUUUCCAGGGAGGCGGCCAUGUCCAGUCCCCUCCUCCCGACCCCCCAAAACAGGGGACAUCGUUGUCACCACAUGUGCCCAGUAGCUAAAAAGACGUGACCCGAGCUCUCCCAGUUCCGGGGAUGAACGAAAGCAACAGUGCCAUAGCACCUCUCCGCCUCGUCCGGUCCCUCCACCCACCCCCCACCCUCGGCCCAGCAGACCUCAACAUUGUCUCCGUGAACUUCCCUGGAAACCAGUGCUGAGGAAGGGCUAUUUUCGUAACACGGGGAUACGACACCUGAGUGAAGGUCGGAGGUGGAUUUUCAGAGCCCAAAGGCCUCGUGCUCGUUAACGGUGCACGGGGCAGCGGUCUAAGAGAGAGAAUCUUGCCAGGGAGUCAGGGACAAAAGGUCCCAUUUCCCACCAGGAAAAAGGGCACAAACCUCGCAGAGAAGGCAAAUACCAACACAUGCGCUGUAAAGAAAAUGGACUUCACCGCCUACAAGAGAGACCUGAGCUCGCUCGGAAAGCAUUUCCCAGAGAGAGUCCAGGCAGCCCAAGCGCCGGAAUGGUCCCAUGACCCCACCAUGCACUUGGGAUUGGGAUGGACUGCUGGGAACUUUAAGUGCCCCCGGGACCUGAAGAUCCAGAUUUAGGAGCAAUGCAUGUCGGGUUGAUGACAUACAGCUGCAAAAUAAUACUCUUUGGUUCCUCAUUUUGCUCCAGAUUCCUCACCUACAUACAGUGUGGGUAGUAAUCUCUGACUUACCUAGAAGAUGGCGUCAGGAUCAAGCUAAACAGAGCACAGACAAGUAUUUUGCAACACGUACAAAUACAUGCUUUCACCGCCACGUGUGCUGCCUGGGUGAAUUAUUUUUACGAAGACCUGGGAAAAGUGGCUCUUGUCAUCUUUGUCCAACGGACGACUCUCGAAGACUGUCCAGCUGUGAGGCAGGUGACUAAUAAUCUGUUCCCUUCGAAGCGAUAUAUCGAUAGCAAAGGACUUGUCGAGACUGAGCGGAUGCAAGGCUGAAACUGAGCAAAUACGUAACAUCUCGGAGCCUCAAGUUUCCACAUCUGUCAAAUGGUACCAAUACCUCAGCCCUCUCAGGUUUCCAAAGAUUAAAGGAGGUUGUGUAGGUCAACAGCUUUCUCACGAGGAGAACUUGAGGCAUGUCAAGGCUCUUGUUCCUUUGUUUUGCAUUCAAGCACUGGAAUUAAAAAACCUGAAGGAAUACACAGUUCGCCUCGAAGAAGGUAUGGGGGCCAAAGAUUUCCCCAGGCAGAAAAUGCAUGUCCCCCAAAGGGAGAAGGCAGGCCUGAUCCAGCUUUGAUCGGGGACCCUGGCUGAGACGCACCAUGGAAGAGUCAUUCUUGGGGUCCACCUGAUUCUCAGUCCAGACCCUGGCCCCUUGGAAUGCCGUCCAUCUCCUAAGGCCAAGUCCUCCCUCCUUUGUGAGAUAGUCUCAGGCCUCCUCGCUUGCAAUCUCCAUGGUUUGCCCAGUUCUCCCACCUUUGUUUAAAAUUUUUUUUGGGUCUCACUAUAAAAUAUACUUGAGAGUU